rnacentral:rRNA from 1 species
UGGGGAAUUUUGGACAAUGGGCGAAAGCCUGAUCCAGCAAUGCCGCGUGUGUGAAGAAGGCCUUCGGGUUGUAAAGCACUUUUGUCCGGAAAGAAAUCCUUGGCUCUAAUACAGUCGGGGGAUGACGGUACCGGAAGAAUAAGCACCGGCUAACUACGUGCCAGCAGCCGCGGUAAUACGUAGGGUGCAAGCGUUAAUCGGAAUUACUGGGCGUAAAGCGUGCGCAGGCGGUUUGCUAAGACCGAUGUGAAAUCCCCGGGCUCAACCUGGGAACUGCAUUGGUGACUGGCAGGCUAGAGUAUGGCAGAGGGGGGUAGAAUUCCACGUGUAGCAGUGAAAUGCGUAGAGAUGUGGAGGAAUACCGAUGGCGAAGGCAGCCCCCUGGGCCAAUACUGACGCUCAUGCACGAAAGCGUGGGGAGCAAAACAGGAUUAGAUACCCUGGUAGUCCACGCCCUAAAACGAUGUCAACUAGUUGUUGGGGACUUCAUUUCCUUAGUAACGUGGCUAACGCGUGAAGUUGACCGCCUGGGGAGUACGGUCGCAAGAUUAAAACUCAAAGGAAUUG